AACAAGACAACACGGAAGUACAAUUGGAGGAAGGUUUGUUUUGAAUUUGCAAUAUGCUCGCUUCUUACGUGGAUUUUAGACGCAGUUAACGGAAUACCUAAGUCUCAGUCCACUGAAAAUGGCAAAAUUACAGUCUUUGAGUGUGUUUGUUAAUACGCGUUUAACAGUGGCUACCGUAGAGAUUAUGGGGGCAGUAGAGAAAGUGGUAGCGGAGUACCAGGAGGAGAUUUUCCGAUCUAAAGUGGAGAAUGACCGGCUGCGCAGACUGCUGCGGAUCAGACCGGAGAUGAAACGAUGUAGAUUAGACUCCCUCCAGUUCUCGCUUACCGUCUCCGAGGAGGAGGUUAACCCUGUGCAGCAGCAAUGUGACCAGGAGGAAUGGAACUCCAGUCUGGGGACGGAUGACCCCGAGCCCAUGCAGAUUAAAGAGGAAAAUGCGGAAGUCGGGACCACUCAGGUGGCAGGGCAGCUUCAAGGGCUGGAGCCUGACAUUGUAGAGUUCAUGUUCACUCCUUCCUGUGUGAAAAGUGAUUGUGAUCAGGACGACCUACUUCAGUCCUUGACUCUUUCCCAAACCACGACUGUGGAGAACAGAGAGAGUGACUCUAAAAAAUUGGAUCUCAAACCUUUUGGCACAGUGACCCAACUCGACACUCCUUAUGACCCUCGAGAUAAUCAAGACAAUGUCUCCAGCCACAGCUCAGCUGCAAGCAGUGAUCUAGUAGGAUUUGACAUAAGCCCACCAUUGGAUCCCAACCCACCAUUGAGGAAACCCAGCACCACAUCUAAAACACAUGACUGCGGGAAAAUAUUAAAUUGCAAGGGGAGCCUGAACAGGCAUAUGCAGACCUCCACAGGAGAAAAAUCAUUUAGCUGUAAUAACUGCAGGAAAAGCUUCAGUCGCAAGGAUACCCUUAACAUGCAUAUACGGACUCACACAGGAGAGAAACCAUUUGUCUGUGGUGAUUGCGGGAAAAGCUUCAGACAGAAGGCUACCCUUAACAGGCAUAUACGGACUCACACAGGAGAAAAACCAUUUAGCUGUGGUGCCUGCGGGAAAAGCUUCAACCAUAAGGGAAACCUAACUGUUCAUUUACUGACUCACACAGGAGAGACACCUUUUACCUGUGGGGACUGCGGGAAAAGCUUCAGACAGAAAUAUAGCCUUAAAAAGCAUACAUCGACUCACAUAGGAGAGACAUUUAACUGUGCUCACUGCGGGAUAAGCUUCAGACACAAAGUGAACCUGGAUAGUCAUAUACUUGCUGUCCACAAAUAAACAAAACAGAAUGAAAACAAAAAGAAGAAAAUGUAACAAAGAUCUGGCAGGAGUUGGUAAUACAAAUGCAGGAUAUGGACAUCACUGUUAGGAAAGCAAAUAAAUUCUAGAUCACUCAUGUUGUAGGUUUAAGGUAUUUACUUUUGUAAAAUGUUCUAUGUAAAUAAAAUGUUAUUCGAAUUACGAUAUUAUGAUCAAACAGUUAAAAAGGGCAAUGGAAACACUUUAGGAAGUAAAUCUAAGCAAAGAUAUGUAAUCAAUCAACAAUUAUCUUGCAAUACUUUAACAUAAAAACAUCUCUGUAUUUAGUAUUUUGAUCUUCGAGGUUAAUUUGAGCUAUUGUCGGCGCCAUUUUCAAUUGCCAUAGUAACGACUGACGCCAAUGCGUCACUGGCAGGAAUCAGUCAAUUGUCUGGUAUUGAGUUUUCGCGCGGAGAGGGAAUCGAAGAGUACAAGGACAUGAUGACAACAACGAUUAGUAAUUCUGACAUGAACUGUAUAGCGCCAGGCUGUACGAAUUGGCUCCAAUUUAAAAAUAUAUAUAUCGGGUAGGUACCAUCGGCUGUCCAAGGACCUUUUGAACACGUGGCUCCAUAUCCUAAAGAAAGGAAGGACGUGCCAGCUCGAUCUAGCAAGGUCUGCAGGCAGCACUUCGCCGAGAAGGACUUUGCUACGAAGGGCGCGUUCGAUGCGGCAACCGGGAGUUUCAGAAUGUAAAGGAGUCCUAAACCUACGUUGAAGCCCUAUACUUGCCCCCCCCCCCCCCCCCAGGUUCAGUUGUCUUAAUCUUAAUAAAACAUUUGUUUGUUUUCAGGAUGAUAUUGUCAUCCAUGAAAAGGUUUUCAUCCUGGAGAUUGUGCAAGAGAAAAUAACAGUUAGUACAGCAUGCCAAACAAACCCCUGGUUGCCAGAUUGUUCCUGUGCUGCGGUGGAAAAGAGCUCCACCGGGACCAUAACUAAAGAACUCGAGGCCCAGCUAGAUUGCUCUCACCACCAUCAGUAUACAACCGAGUCCUGCCCCUGUUGGCCACAGAGCUGACAGAGAGUGAGAUGGGUGAAGACCAGGAGUCGAUGUAUGAACCUGAGAGCUCAGACACACAAUCAUCACAGUGCGAACCAAGAGAUACAAUCGAAGAGUGUGCAAGAUCAGAAAUACAUAGUCUUUGAUAGCAAGCUGAAGGAGUUGUUCAAUGUCUGCCAUGAGCCAGGAUGUCGAGCUGGUGUCAUCAGUUCAUCCCUGAAAAUAAAUGGUUUUGCCAUCACCAUGGAGACAGUGUUGUGGGCCACAGGAGGAAGUGGGAGUCCUAGACCAGAGUGGGGAAAGUUGUUUGCAGGUCGUGCCAUUGGCAGUCUGUCUUCCUUACUGGUGGCUCCCACUCCACAUUUGUGGAAACAUGUCACCUCCUCAGCCUGGUGCCCAUGUCGCUGCGUCAGUUUGCAAACCAACAGCGCAUCUACAUUGUGCGAAAGGUUAACCACAUGUGGACCCACCACACGUAGGCCAUUCUGGCUACAAUUGGUGACAGUCCACUGAUUGUAUCUGGAGACGCAUUGUGUGAUUUCUCCAGGCCACUCUGCUUCCCACCUGAUCCUCCCCCAUGAGACUGUGCAUGUUACCAAGGUGAAGAAUAUUUACUGUUUGGAGACGGAAGGAUUAGAGAGAUGCCUGCAACACAUUGAGGCCCAUGGAUGCAGUAUUAAAACCUUGGCCACUGACAGGCAUCCAAGUGUGAGGGUGCACUUGAGGGGCUCAUAUCUGGCAUGAGUAUGACCUGUGGCACAUUGCCAAAGGUAUGAGGAAACAGCUGGUGGCCAUCGGGAAGCCAGAGGUACUGCCAUGGGUGAGGGCAUUAACUCACCACUUGUGGUACUGUGCCACCACUGCUGGUUGAAGUGUCCAGGUGCUAAAAGAAAAGUGGAUCACCACAGUUCACCUCAUCACCAAUGAACACCAGUGGGUCACUGGAGGCACACUGAACUGCCUGCUCUCCACCAGUCUUUCACAUUGAUGUUGGGUGACUUUGUCACUCCUGGCGCAAAAAUUCAAGCAGCUCGGCUUGGUUUGAUGGCUUGUGACCAUCCAUCUUCCUCUUGAUCACAUUCCAAAGGUUUCAAUGGGUCUUGAUCUGGUGGUCCUCCAUCCACACCUUGAUUGACCUGGCUGUGUGGCAUGGAGCAUUGUCCUGCUGGAGAAACCAAUCCUCAGAGUUGGAGAUUUUAACAGUCUGAUGGCCUUGAGAUAGAAGCUGUUUUUCAGUCUCAGUCAUCAGCUUUGAUGCACCUGUACUGACCUCGCCUUCUGGUUGAUAGCAGGGUUAACAGGCCGUGGUUCUGGUGGUUGAUGUCCUUGAUAUUUUUGGCCUUCCUGUGACAAUGGGUGCUGUAGGUGUCCUGGAGGUUGUUGAAGGAUCUCAAGAAGGUUUUUAAAAAAACGUAUCAACCGUUUCUGUACAUAUGCUGCAACAUUUUGAUCAAAUUAAUGAGCACAUUUUAACCCCUUUUUUGCCUUCCUAUGUGAACUACAACCAAUUAAUUUAAUAAAAUCAGUAAUAUAAUAAUUCUAGUAGCCUAUUUAUUAAUCUCAAGUUAAAUGAAUUAGAUAUUUUAUUUUCUAGGUGAUGAAGUGUGGCUGGUGAACUCAAGUGUACAUGCCCAAGAGGAACAUGUUCGGCCAGCAGGGGAUGGUCGCUAAAUUCCAAGUGCCUACCUUGAACCGCAAUUAUUCAGUGGACAGACAGCAGGUUACAACAGAGGGAGUGCUCCGUUUAAAGCAAGAGUUCUCCAAGGCUGCCAGGGCGUUAGUGGUGAAACCCAGCAAGGAGGAGAAGACAUGAUGUUUCCGGUCUGAGCUCCUACACAGCAUCGUUGACUGCUGUGCCAAUAUUAUGUCAGAUGUAGACAGAGAGAGGAAUUACCUACAAUGAUUUGUGUAACUUAUAUCUGUCUCUAAGACCAUCCCAGCGGACUCUCCUGAGUGCCCAAAGAGAGAGUGGCGGUCACUUUGGGGGAGCAGACUAGUGUUCCGAAAAUGGAGAAGGAGCAGGCCAUUCGACAGCAAAUUCAAAGAUACACCCAUCCAUGGAGGGAAUUGAAGUGGAUUUUUUUUUUUUUUUACCAGUUUCAACAGACAUGCUACCUUGUCCCGGACCUGCGGUUUCAACUCUGUUUUUCAGUCUCUCGGUCCCAGCUUUGAUGCAACUGUACUGACCUCGCCUUCUGGAUGGUAGUGGGGUGAACAGGCCGUGGCUGUGUCGAGUAUAUGUAGACGGGAGGAGUAUUAUGUGCCAGCUGAGCCUAAAUGCUGCUAUUGUGGUGGUGAACAUACACCUGCAUUUCUGAAGUGUCCUGUUAGGGUGAUGGAGGUGGUAAGAAUAAGGGCUGUCCAGAAUGUCACCUAGCCUAAGUUGUUGAGCAGUGAAAGAAAAGUGUGAAGUUGAAGAAAUAAUGGUAGUAGGCGGAGAGACACAAGAUGAUGUUCCUUGUCAACAGAGGGAUCCUGACAUGUAUGUUAAGAAGGUGGACGUUGUAGCGUUUAUUGGUUUGGUUAUCAACUGCACAUCACAAACAGAGGAAAUCUAAGAAAAUAGGCAUUGUGAGUGUGACUGUCGCUGAAUGUUCCAUCCUCACAGGCACCUGUAGGAAUGCAAUUUGAAUGUAACUGAAGGAGUGGGAUGGUUGUUCGAUUAUUUUUUUAAAUGAUCCCCCUUCCUGCAUUUGAAUAUAUUAUUUUUGUUUUGUUUCAAGACCCCGUACAGUAGGUGGCGGCAAUAUACCAAUAGGUGUAGUCUGCCAUAACAUUUUAAAGAAGAAAACAACGCAACCGGAAGUUGGAAUCGCUAGUUUCCGUUUGGGUUCACAACUGCUUGUUGAUGGUGGUAUAGCUAGCCAGCUACUGCUAUGUCAAUAUUUUUGAUUUAGCUAGCUAAAACAAACGUUUUUACGAAGAAAAUGAGUUCUGAAGGGAAUCGACACGGGACGAAAAGACCUGGUUCUCCGAAUGAAGAUGGACCUACUCCAUGGGCAGCUGCAGAUCUGGGGGACAACGAGAGGAAGCAGAAGUUUUUGAGGUUGAUGGGCGCAGGGAAGAAAGAACACACUGGACGUCUAGUCAUUGGAGAUCACAAAUCAACAUCCCAUGUCCGCAGCGUACUAUCUGGGACCAGAUAGCACUGUAUUUGGUAUGAUUGGUGUUUCACUAGUUUGUCCUCUGCAGGGGCGGAGGACCGGAGGAUGAACUCUGAGCUGGAGUUGCAGUACCAGCAGGGGCUGGACGGGAAGCUGUCAGGCAGGAACAGGAGACACGUCGGACUGGGCUUUAGUGAGCCGGACCCAGCCCCACCUCUACCACCCGUAGAGGGCCAAAGCAAGGCAGAGCAACCAGCCAGUCCCAAUGCCCCAGACAGCCCCUCAGAACCCCAGGGCUCACCAGACAAACCCUCCUCACCAAACCCAGAGGACAGCACGAAAGACAAGAAAGAGGACAAGAAACACACCUUCAAAAUGGCCUUUGUGAAGUCAUCCUAAGACUGGGAGAAAAACAGUCACUUUUUUUCUAAAGUCAAACCACAGAUUUGUACAUAAGUCGUUCUUUUGUGUCUCUGCAGUACUCCCAAGCUGAUACAUGGUAACUUCGUGGUUUAAGAUGGCUUUUAUGUUCCAAUGCUGAGCAGCAAACCAGUAGUGCACUACUGAAGGAGGUCACAAUCAUUGAGACAGAUUUCCCGUGUUGUUUCCUUGUCAAUUUUUGUUAGGAUUCCUGACUGAAAGAGGGACUACGACGUGUUAUAAAUGGUUCUGAGACGAAGCUCAUGAGUUAUAAAAAUGUACUUAAACUACAAAUUGAAUAUCAAUAAACUGAAGUGUACCACAGUAGGGAUGAAUAUUUUCUCAAAUCUACAAAGGUGGCUAUUUCAAAGCAUUUAAAAAUAUAAUCACUAUACCAGGGUUCUCCCUGCGCUACAUUGCCGGCUUGUCUGGGCCACUAUGUGAAACUCAUAUUUAGUAAUGAUAGAGUAACUUUGAUCAGCAAUCACAUUUUUUUGUGAAUUGUGAAACAGACCGUUCAGUGCAUUUCAGCAGUAGGAUAUCUCGGAGUGUGAACCCCGAGUAGGCUGUAGCAUCAUAACUGCAACGGCAGUCAAAUGACCGAAGAUACUAAGCUUGCUAGAAAACCUCCAACGAAUGACAUAUCCUAUUUGGCAAUAUCGAGUUGAUAAUUAGCCUAUGCAGAUCAGUGCAUGAAUAACAGAGAUGAGAGGAUAUUGUUAAAAUAAAAAAUCCAUCUACUCAUACAAUUUGAUCACACAUUAUCUACUGAAGCUCUGAUGGGCAGCAAUACGAGACAGCGCAGAAGCGUUAUGCAUAAUGUUGAAGAGCUUUUAAAGACAGGACUGUCCAGCCAGCAAUCCCAGUUAAUUUGAGUUUAUUCUGAUGAUCGACAAGGAAGCACAUUAGAUGGGCAGGACAACAGUAUGUUGAUGGCUGUAGAUUUGUGAUUCGUCUGUUAGCCCCUGCUAGCUUAUUUCCAUGCUAAUGCGACCAUUACAAUUAAAUGGGGAGUCAGGAUGUUGGAUUUCAGUGGGAUUGUGAUAGGAAAAUAGCCUAGGCUCUAUAAGGCUACUGCGUGAGUCAAUAGAUAACUAAUACACUUGGUUUAGGCUACAUUGCAUGCUACAUGUUUCUGAUCAGUGAAAGAUGAUUAUCAGACAAGUCAGAGGCUUCUGUUCAGGAGUAGGACAGAAUACUCACGCGAGUGAAGAUCAAAAUCCACUUAUAUACAUGCUAGACACAUUUUCUGAUCAGCUAAUAUAUAAGCAAACUAGAAUAAAGAUGAUCAAUUUACCUAACAUUUCCCUCAGCCUAGUUACCAAAUAUCCACAAAGAUUCUGUGAAAACAAAAAUCUGACGUUGAUUGAUAUAUCUAGACGAGUCCCCCAUACUUGUCUCAAAGCAGCGCAAAGGCUCUGUCCCAAUCAAAAAGGUGCUGAAAUGAUAAUGUAGGUGACCACACAGGACUAUUGCUUUACAUUUGUAUAACGGUUGCACAUGAUUUAGGGAUAUACAGUAUAAGCAAGAAUUUGAUACAUGCCUUCAAUUGCAUUAGCCUAUAUUUUAAUCAUUCAGUUGAUCAUAACUAAGGUGAGUUUCUCUCUCUGUGCCUUUUCUAGGUCCAAUGGCUAUUUCCUCGUCUCCUCACUGUGCUGCCACCCUCCUCGUUCUCAAAACCAAUUUAAAUCAUUAUACUUAUUUUUCUAGAAAUCUGGCUUUUUUUUCCAGGUUGGGGCUCACUUAAUUUCUGUGAUGUCAGGCCUGGGCUCGGGCUUCAAGCUUUACGGACUUGGGUCGGACCGGGAUCUAAUUUUCAGUUCUGAUGAGAACUCAAACUGCAUUCAGAUCUGGUGUGCGGUCGAGCAAUGUCAGUUAUGUGUGUUUUGAAUUGAUGGCCACUUUGUGUGAAGUAAAUAUGCCAGGCUAAAAGGAUUCCAUGCAACAACCUGUAUGGAUAAUGUGCUUUUUUGUUGUUGCCAAAUCUGCUGCGCAUGUGUAUUUUGUGGAAAUGCAUUAGUGAGACAAUGUUGUAAUUUUCCAUGUCUUGUCAUUACAUUUUUGGGAGAAAUGUUAAGAGUGAUCCCUUUAAUUGUCAAUUGCGGUAUAAAGCCGAUUUUCAGCACUAUGGCUGGAAUUGAGCCCAAAAUAAACAUGCUCGUGUUUGAA